rnacentral:rRNA from 1 species
GACGAACCACACAAACGUUAUUCGGAAUUACUGGGCUUAAAGGGUGCGUAGGCGGGCGCGGAAAGUUGGGUGGUGAAAUCCCUCCGGCUCAACCGAGGAACUGCGCCCAAAACUACCGUGCUCGAGGGAGAUAGAGGUGAGCGGGAAACUUAGGGUGGAGCGGUGAAAUGCGUUGAUAUCCUAAGGAACACCCGUGGCGAAAGCGGCUACACUGGGUCUUCUCUGACGCUGAGGCACGAAAGCUAGGGUAGCGAACGGGG